rnacentral:rRNA from 1 species
AGUGAACGCUGGCGGUAGGCCUAACACAUGCAAGUCGAACGGCAGCACAGUAAGAGCUUGCUCUUACGGGUGGCGAGUGGCGGAUGGGUGAGGAAUACAUCGGAAUCUACUUUUUCGUGGGGGAUAACGUAGGGAAACUUACGCUAAUACUGCAUACGACAUACGGGUGAAAGCAGGGGAUCUUCGGACCUUGCGCGAGUGAAUGAGCCGAUGUCGGAUUAGCUAGUUGGCGGGGUAAAGGCCCACCAAGGCGACGAUCCGUAGCUGGUCUGCGAGGAUGAUAAGCCACACUGGAACUGGAACACGGUCCAGACUCCUAAGGGGAGCAGCGGUAGGGAAAAUAGGACAAUGGGCGCAAGCCUGAUCCAGCCAUACCGCGUAGGUGAAGAAGGACUUCUGGUUGUAAAGCCCUUUUGUUGAGAAAGAAAAGCAGCAGGUUAGUCCCCCGCUGUUCUGACGGUACCCAAAGAAUAAGCACCGGCUAACUUCGUG